GCUUUGGUAGUUCAGUCAUUAGAACAUGAGACUCUUAAUUUCAGGGUUGUGGGUUCGAGCCUUCUGUUGGGCA